rnacentral:rRNA from 1 species
CGCGGCCAUCCGGUGCUUGCACUGGUGAAGCCGAGUGGCGAACGGGUGAGUAACACGUGAGAAACCUGCCCUGGAGUGGGGAAUAACUCGAAGAAAUUCGAGCUAAUACCGCAUACCUUCUCUUCACCGCAUGGUGAGUUGAAGAAAGAUUUAUCGCUCUAGGAGGGUCUCGCGGCCUAUCAGCUAGUUGGUGAGGUAAUGGCUCACCAAGGCAUCGACGGGUAGCUGGUCUGAGAGGACGAUCAGCCACACUGGGACUGAGACACGGCCCAGACUCCUACGGGAGGCAGCAGUAGGGAAUCUUGCGCAAUGGGCGAAAGCCUGACGCAGCAAUGCCGCGUGCGGGACGAAGGCCCUAGGGUCGUAAACCGCUUUCAGUAGGGACGAAAAUGACGGUACCUGCAGAAGAAGCUCCGGCCAACUACGUGCCAGCAGCCGCGGUGAUACGUAGGGAGCAAGCGUUGUCCGGAAUUACUGGGCGUAAAGGGCUCGUAGGUGGUUGAGUAAGUCAGAUGUGAAAUCUCAGGGCCCAACCCUGAGCCCGCAUUUGAUACUGCUCUGACUAGAGUCCGGUAGGGGAGUGCGGAACUCCUGGUGUAGCGGUGAAAUGCGCAGAUAUCAGGAAGAACACCGACAGCGAAGGCAGCACUCUGGGCCGGUACUGACACUGAGGAGCGAAAGCAUGGGUAGCAAACAGGAUUAGAUACCCUGGUAGUCCAUGCCGUAAACGUUGGGCACUAGGUGUGGGGAGAACUCAACUCUCUCCGCGCCGUAGCUAACGCAUUAAGUGCCCCGCCUGGGGAGUACGGCCGCAAGGCUAAAACUCAAGGAAUUGACGGGGGCCCGCACAAGCGGCGGAGCAUGUUGCUUAAUUCGAGGCAACGCGAAGAACCUUACCUGGGCUGA